GACAGCAUCAAACGGAAGUGAGAGAUGUAUUCAUCUGGCUGCUUUCCACUGAGUCGGGGCAAAGCUGGAAAGUUUUAAGGCCAGUCAAAGAUGUGGUCCUCAGGAGUGGUCUUGGGUAUGGGAGUAAUCUCUACUUCCUCAAGUCUUUCUUGUUUGCCAGACAUUCCAUCUAUGUGAAGAAAGCUAUGCUCUGCACUCCUGGCCAUCAAGCUAUGCUAUGCACACCUGGUAUCUCCAGUAGUGACCCACCUGUGUCUACACAGCUCUGGAGGUGAUCAUUCAAUUGUCUUCAUAGCUCCAGGAGUGACCCACCUGACUGUUCAUGCAGCUCUGGAGGUGACCAUGCAACUGUCCAUCACCCACACAUUCCCAGAAAUGGCCUUCCGAUAGCAUAGCUGCAUAAGUGAACAUUUAACAGUCACCUUUCAGAGGUGACACACCCAACUGUAUCUUCAUAGCCACGCCCCCCCAUUCAGCUUCCUGUCUUUACCAAUAUGGGUUCUCCACACUUCAUAAUUGUUUUAUCUGAAAGGGAUUUUUACAGUUAUGGAAGCCACUCAAA
rnacentral:lncRNA from 1 species